UACGUAGGUGGCAAGCGUUGUCCGGAUUUACUGGGUGUAAAGGGUGCGCAGGCGGAUCUGUAAGUCAGAGGUGAAAUCUCACAGCUUAACUGUGAAACUGCCUUUGAUACUGUAGAUCUUGAGUUCGGGAGAGGUUGAUGGAAUUCCAGGUGUAGCGGUGAAAUGCGUAGAUAUCUGGAAGAACACCAGUGGCGAAGGCGGUCAACUGGCCCGUAACUGACGCUCAGGCACGAAAGCGUGGGUAGCAAACAGG
rnacentral:rRNA from 1 species